UACGGAGGGUGCAAGCGUUAUCCGGAUUCACUGGGUUUAAAGGGAGCGUAGGUGGCUUUGUAAGUCAGUGGUGAAAUCUUAGAGCUUAACUCUAAAACUGCCAUUGAUACUGCUUAGCUUGAAUCACGUCGAGGUGGAUGGAAUAUUACAUGUAGCGGUGAAAUGCUUAGAUAUGUAAUAGAACACCGAUUGCGAAGGCAGUUCACUAGGCGUGUAUUGACACUGAGGCUCGAAAGCGUGGGGAUCAAACAGG
rnacentral:rRNA from 2 species